UGGCAGUUAAAGGACAGCAGCAGCAGUCCGACCGCCUGGCUCCAUUUUCCCAGUGCCACCGACUGGGAGUUAAGCUGACUAACGUUUUGAAAGCCCGGCCCAUUUCGUUCUCAGUGGGACAGCAGG
ensembl:misc_RNA